rnacentral:lncRNA from 1 species
UUAGAUAUAAUUGAUGAUUACUAAUGUUCUUAAGGUUUGUUUUAGAACAGGAAUCAUCAGAGUUUAAACUGGAAGCUGAUCAGAGUUUAGUAAAGUCUGACAGAGUUUGAUAAAGUCUGAUCAGAGUUUACAUAGUCAAGACUUGACAGAGUUUACACGUGGAAAGAGCUCAGAAGCGGAUAUACUUCAAGGAAGGAUAGAAGCUGAGGAGUGAUUUGCUGACUAUGGAAACUAAACAGAAAACUGGAGCAAUCUUUGAUUGAUAGAUUUAUUAGCUGAUUUAUAGGAUAUCAAAUCAGAGAUUGAUUUUGUAACUGUGUCUAUAUAAACACAGAUUAGGGUUACUCUAUAUGAGUUGAGUUAUCGAG